ACUCCUACGGGAGGCAGCAGUGGGAAGGUAUUGCACAAUGGGGAAACCCGUAGAUGCAGCCAUGCCGCGUGAGUGAUGAAGGCCCUAGGGUUGUAAAGCUCUUUCAGCGAGGAGGAUAAUGACGUUACUCGCAGAAGAAGCCCGGCUAACUUCGUGCCAGCAGCCGCGGUAAUACGAAGGGGGCGUAGCGUUGUUCGGAAUCACUGGGCGUAAAGCGCACGUAGGCGGAUUGAUAAGUUAGGGGUGAAAUCCCGGGGCUCAACCUCGGAACUGCCUUUGAUACUGUCAGUCUUGAGUCCGAGAGAGGUGAGUGGAACUCCGAGUGUAGAGGUGAAAUUCGUAGAUAUUCGGAAGAACACCAGUGGCGAAGGCGGCUCACUGGCUCGGUACUGACGCUGAGGUGCGAAAGCGUGGGGAGCAAACAGGAUUAGAUACCCCUGGUAGGAUAGCG
rnacentral:rRNA from 1 species